rnacentral:misc_RNA from 1 species
UACCCUUGACAUGUACGGAAUCCUUGAGAGAUCAGGGAGUGCUCGCAAGAGAGCCGUAACACAGGUGCUGCAUGGCUGUCGUCAGCUCGUGUCGUGAGAUGUUGGGUUAAGUCCCGCAACGAGCGCAACCCUUGUCAUUAGUUGCUACGAAAGGGCACUCUAAUGAGACUGCCGGUGACAAGCCGGAGGAAGGUGGGGAUGACGUUUACCGACAGCU